CGAUCAUGUGGGAAAAAAGAAAAAGAAAAAAACAGAACAACGGCUAUUUUCUCCAGAACCCGAAACCCCCCAAAAACCCAAAAAAUUCAAAUCCCAUAUACACAGACCAAAACCCAUUUCAGAGCUCUUCAAACCAAAAUCGUAUCCUCUCCAAUUCAGCGAAACCCUUUCCUCUCCAUUUCAAGAAAAGAAGAUCUUUCUUCUCCACAAACCCUUUUCCUCAACACCACCAAACCCUUUCUUGAAGAAUUCGAGGAAUCCAUUCAGAAUUAGAGCAACCCAUUAUUCCAUUGAAGAAUUCCACAGACCCUGUUCCAUUCUGUAAUUGAGUUUCUAGCUGAAAUGAAGAGGAAGCACUGUGAAUGUUGCCAUGACAUAUGCGAUAGUUAAAGUUGUUGCACUGGCUGUAGCUCCAAGAGAAGACUGGAAAGAAAACUUGGAGACUGUAAUGACCUGCCACCAAAGGCUGAACUUGGAGAUAGCAACGAUUGUUUAGAGAGGAUUCUUGUAGAGCAGCCACUGAGGAUGUUAGCUCAAUACCAGAUGGUAUCAAGACAGUGGAAGGCUCUCAUUGGCCAACCAACAUUUCAACAAAUCCUUGCUGAAAAAUCUGAGGCAAACAGCUUGUUUGUGAGUUAUUUGAAGACUGAUAAGGUAGGAAUUGUAAGGCUGAUUCACAACCGAUAUUCAGUGACCAAUUAUAGCCUCCCUCCAUCUAGGUCUGCACUUCCCCUUAAGAAUGUGUUAGGGUCAUGCUACGGCUUGGUAUGCUUGGGAAAUACCAGCCGAGGAGGAUACAGAGCUGAGGAGGAUAUACUCCUUCUCAACCCCUGCACAAAAAAAUUGAGAUUAAUCAAGGAUACAAUACAUUGUGGACUGGAGAGGGGGCACUAUGGCCUCGGUUUUGAUAGAAAAGCACAAGAUUUCAAAAUUGCGAAAGUGUGCACUCCGCUGGUUAGGCACUCCAAGAAGAAGCUCACUCCAAAGAGGGAAGCAGAGAUGGUGCAUAUUAUAAUCUACUCAUGGAAAGAUUCUUGCUGGCGUGAAACUUAUUUUGAAGAUUGGGGUUUCAAUUUGGUUCAUUACCCGGGCAUGUUUCUUGACGGCAAAAUCUACUGGCCAGGGGAGGUUUGGGAGAUGCAAGGGAUAUUUCUCAGACCACAGGGUCACCAAAACUCCUUGGUAAGCUUUGAUGUGUCAUCUGAAACGCUUGGCUGCAUAAACCUGCCAGACGACCUCCAGUCUGAAUAUUGCAGCUUUGGAGUUGUUGCUCGACAUUGACUGCAUGCGUCUGCGGAGAAAAAACUGAAGUUUGGCAAUACACAGAGAAUAAUUUCAGAAAGAGGGCAAGUUUAUCGACUUACAGAAAUCAUAUGUCUUCUCGCCUCCAGCCUCUAUAUCAGCUAGGGAAUCUCAUGGUUCUACUUCACAAUGGCAGGAAAGUUACUCUAUAUGAUAUGUCUGACCACUCCAAGCUACAUGCUUUGGGUCUUGACAAGUGGGUUCAUCAAGGUGCUUACAAUGGAAGAGGGCCAAGAAUGGAAGCAGUGCCAUUGGUUGAAAGCUUGUUUACGCCAACCUUUGAGACAGAAAAGGCAAAUUGUGAAUAAAGUUAUCCAGUAGAGGAUCACAGAUCACAUGGCGCUGAUGCUGAAGGGUGAUUUGGAGAUGAGGAGAAACUUUUGAUCUUUUUGGUUAUACAGAUGGAUAUUCAACAUUAAUUGUUCCCAGCAGGUGGUAUUCGUUUAUAGUAAAUAGUGAAAAGGGGAUAUAACCCCAUACAGAAUACAGACUGAAAAUAUUGUUUGUAAUUGCUUGAGAAGAAUCUAAUGAACAUGGAUUUGACUUUGGAA